CUACUACUCCCUCUGUUCGGAAUUACUUGUCUCAGAAAUGGAUGUAUCUAGAACUAAAAUACGUCUAGAUACAUCCAUUUAUGCGACAAGUAAUUCCGAACGGAGGGAGUAGUUU
rnacentral:pre_miRNA from 1 species